GACGAACGCUGGCGGCGUGCUUAACACAUGCAAGUCGAACGGAAAGGCCCUGCUUUUGUGGGGUGCUCGAGUGGCGAACGGGUGAGUAACACGUGAGUAACCUGCCCUUGACUUUGGGAUAACUUCAGGAAACUGGGGCUAAUACCGGAUAGGAGCUCCUGCCGCAUGGUGGGGGUUGGAAAGUUUCGGCGGUUGGGGAUGGACUCGCGGCUUAUCAGCUUGUUGGUGGGGUAGUGGCUUACCAAGGCUUUGACGGGUAGCCGGCCUGAGAGGGUGACCGGCCACAUUGGGACUGAGAUACGGCCCAGACUCCUACGGGAGGCAGCAGUGGGGAAUAUUGCACAAUGGGCGGAAGCCUGAUGCAGCAACGCCGCGUGCGGGAUGACGGCCUUCGGGUUGUAAACCGCUUUCGCCUGUGACGAAGCGUGAGUGACGGUAAUGGAUAAAGAAGCACCGGCUAACUACGUG
rnacentral:rRNA from 1 species